rnacentral:lncRNA from 1 species
CCGGCUCUCCCUGAGCUUUGUCUUGACGUCUCCCUCUCCCUCUCCACUUGCCACCAUAGCUGCUUACUUCUCACCUAACCUCUGAAGCCACGUCUCAAGUCCCACCUCUUGUGGGGAUCCCCGCUGUACUUCAGCCCUGGCAGAAUUCAGGCCCUUCAUCUCUGUUGUCCUCACAGGAUUCCUUUCAUUCCUCGGCUGUAAUUGUCACCAUCCGUGUUUCGUGGUCGCCCAACUGUGAGCUCACUGGGGCCGAUAACUGCGUCUGACUCCUCUGGCUGUCUUCACACCUGUAAGAAUGGCUGCCCGCUUACGAGGCUCUCAAAGCUACAUCAUACAAUCUUUAUUGGCUUUGAAACCACUGAUCUAUCAUUUACAAGAUACGUUAACUGGGUAACAGAAGUUAGCACUGAGGAACUAAGUCAUCUCAAGGUCAUGUU